rnacentral:lncRNA from 1 species
UAAAGCCAACAAAAAGAUAAAAGUGAUACACAUAUCUACUCUCACCCCCUCCCCCAAAUUUAUUACAGAACAUAAGUUCGAAAAUAAGUUUGGAGGGAUGAUGAUAUGUGUGUCACUACUCACAGAAACACAUGCUCCAAGGUGGUAGUAUGGACAAGGCGCGAUUUCCCGCAUCUUCCAAGCUCAACACUGCACUAAACUCCCA